UAGGGAAUCUUCGGCAAUGGGGGGAACCCUGACCGAGCAACGCCGCGUGAGUGAAGAAGGUUUUCGGAUCGUAAAGCUCUGUUGUUAAGGAAGAACGAGUGUGAGAAUGGAAAGUUCAUACUGUGACGGUACUUAACCAGAAAGGGACGGCUAACUACGUGCCAGCAGCCGCGGUAAUACGUAGGUCCCGAGCGUUGUCCGGAUUUAUUGGGCGUAAAGCGAGCGCAGGCGGUUAGAUAAGUCUGAAGUGAAAGGCAGUGGCUCAACCAUUGUAGGCUUUGGAAACUGUUUAACUUGAGUGCAGAAGGGGAGAGUGGAAUUCCAUGUGUAGCGGUGAAAUGCGUAGAUAUAUGGAGGAACACCAGUGGCGAAGGCGACUCUCUGGUCUGUAACUGACGCUGAGGCUCGAAAGCGUGGGUAGCAAACAGG
rnacentral:rRNA from 1 species